CGCAGUAUUUUGACUGUGCGAAGGUAGCAUAAUCAUUUGUCUUUUAAUUGAAGACUUGUAUGAAUGGCUGAACGAGAAAAUAACUGUCUCUUUAAAAAAUCUUGAAUUUUACUUUUAAGUGAAAAGGCUUAAAUAAUUUUAAGGGACGAUAAGACCCUAUAAAUCUUUAUAUUACUUUUCUUUAAUUUUCAAAUUAUGUAUUAAAAGAAAAAAAAAGAAAAAAAAUAUUAUAUUGGGGAGAUAAAAAUAUAAUUUUUAACUGUUUUAAAUGUAAAACAAUAAUUUUUGAUUUAUUAAUAUUUGAUCCUUUUUAAAGAUUUUAAGAUUAAGUUACUUUAGGGAUAACAGCGUAAUUUUUUUUGAGAGUUCUUAUCGAAAAAAAAGUUUGCGACCUCGAUGUUGAAUUAAAAUAUCCUUAUAAGUGCAGAAGCUAUAGAGGAAAGUCUGUUCGACUUUUAAAAUUUUACAU
rnacentral:rRNA from 1 species